UUAUUAUUUAUGUUUGCGACAAUUGUUUGCAAUAACAAAAUAGUAUUGGGUAAAAUAAAUACUUGCAUAAGUAAACGCGUGGUAAUGACUCUCAAGGUUGCCGCUAACGGAAUUCGGGCGCCUUCGCAGAAAUGACGCAUGAGUGUAAACAAUCGUUGAGUGGCGCGAUUCUCUGCCGCUGACGUCACGUGCGAGCGAUCUCCGGGAUACCCACCCGCUCUCGCCCUCUCUUUCUUCUUAUUAAUCUGCUUUAUGCAAGGAAUACCAAAAGAAGAUUUGCUUGAGUGGAAGUGAAAAAAAAAAAUUUUAGUGACAGUUCUUCCUGGAUAAAGUGCGUGUGUAAUUAAAACGGACGAUUUAAAAGUAAUUUGCUCUUCCGGACCCAGGUAUGACAACAUUACAAUAGGAUUUUGACUGGGUAUACUUAUACCUAAACUUUAAUACCUUUUAUUUUGCAUUGCAGAGAAUUAAAAGGAAGGAACGAAACUCUCUGGAGGAUAAGAAAAGAUAAAAGUGUAUAUAAUAGUGGGCUUAGCCUUGGUUUUAAGUUUUUACUUGUUAGUUAGUUACUAUUACUACGGUUAAGUACGACGGCUGUGUUGAGUAAAAGUGCGCAAACCAAUUAGGCGCCAGUGACGUCAAGGCUAGACACUCCAGUCACAUUUAAAGUCUGUACAGUAUACAGUAUAUAUUGUAACAGCAGUGAGUGUAGUCUUCACGUGUCAAUCCUCCAAUAGUUAACAACUGUACUGUAAAUUUUUGUAGGAGUUACUCACGACUUCCUGGAAAAUAUCAUACUGAUAAUUGGAAUUUGUUUUUAUACCAUACGGAGCGUCUACUGACGCAGCAGGGGAUCCACUGAGAAACUGCACCAGGAUUUAAGGAGUUAAGGCUGGACCCCAACCCAACUGACCAUUUAAUUUAACAGGAUUUAAUAGUGUAAGUGUACACUGUAAAUGUAUACGGGCAAUGACUAACUGCGCGUCAAGUGUGUCGAUUGUAAAAGGUAUUAUCGAGGCAACUCGGCAGAAAUCCUCAUCAGAGCCAGCAUCAGAAUCAUCCUCGCCGGCAGUUUCAUUACCACUUUACACCGGUAGUGGUAGUAGUGCUGUUUGUGAUAAUAUUUCUACGGUUAGUUGUGUAAGUGGGAGCAAUUGUGCCGGGUCUGCUGUUGGACUACUGGGCUUCGCUUCCACGAGAUUUGCAUAGCAAACAGAUUGACAUAGCGCUGGAGACUCAAGCAGCGGCAAUGACAGACCCUCAGUUAGCAAACAACACUAGUUGUAACAACAAUAACAAAACAAAUCCAAGUACAAAUAACAAUAAUAAUAAUAAUAAUAACACCAACAAUAACAACAACAACAACGAUGGAGAGUCAAAGUACUUACACAAAAAGUUCAAAAAGAUGGCGACUGUCGAGGUGUCGUCACCGCUGGAAAUCUCGAAGGAUUCAGUCAAAACAAUCAUUCACCAAACUGACUCCUCCGAAGUCACUCGACGAGCUCCCGCUAGUGACGUCACCAAGAGCAGCAACAAUAACAACAACAACAACAACAACAGCAGCAAAGAGUCUUCCAAGGCAAAGGAGUCUUCCGAAAGCAGCAGCGACCCCACUGAGACCAAAAAAACGGGAUACGUGUGUCCUUACUGCAAGAUGUCCUGCUCCAAGCCGAGCGUUCUUCAAAAGCAUAUAAGAGCGCACACCAACGAGCGACCAUAUCCGUGUCUGCUCUGCGGGUUCGCUUUUAAGACAAAGUCUAAUUUGUACAAACACCGACGGUCGCGAGCCCACACCGCCAAAGCCGAGGGAACGGCUGAUCAAACGAAGGUGUCAGAAGAUUCGGACAUAAGUUUAUCAGACAGCGCAAGCAACGGAACGGGAACGCCACCUCCUCUGGCAUCCUCAGUAGCAGCUUCAAACCACCUCGAAGCUGCUACCAAGACAGUUAAAACUGGCAAGAUCUACAAGCCAAAGUUUCACACCGCUCUUGAGUCCGUAAAUAACGACCCGGAAAGUUUGUCUGUAUCUCCGGUUGCGACAACUAUUUCUACUUCCACUUCUUUAUUAUUAUCAUCAUCAUCUAUCAUAUCUAGCAGCUCGAACGGAACGUCAACAGGUCCUAUAAAGCCAAAUGCGGAGCAACUCCAAGAACACAUUGACAAGAUUAUCACCGACAAUCAGGCAAUCGUCGAAGCAGUAGAUCCGCGACUCCAUAAAUUAAUGCACCGACAACAAUCACAGCCAGCAAAACCCUCCGAGCAGCCGCUAAAUUUGUCUUCCUCUCCCGAAGAUGUUCUCUCCUCGCGAAAGCGGCAUCUAAGCGAAACCCAGGAGGAUAAAAACCAAAAGCCACAAUUAAAUUUACACUUGCAGACAGAGAAUCAAGGAUCUAUAAUAAAAGAUUUGCUGUUGAAAAAUCGUGACGAUUUUGUCUGCGCAAACUGUAAAAUUUCCUACACCAGCGCUGAUAAUUUAGAAGCUCACAAGCGUUAUUACUGCAAAGUUUCUUCUUCCUCAUCAUCACUAUCGUCUUCUUCAUCGUCUUCCUCAUCUCCGAGUCCAAAGCGGGACUUCCAAUUGGACUUGGAGAAACGUGAUAAUGAUGACACCAAGUCAGAGUAUUACAACACCGUGAAACCGCUUCCUUCGCCGGGUCCUUUGCUGGGAAAUACCAGACUGGUCGACGCUUACACUCCACCAGUAAAGAAACACCGUUUAACCGAGCUGACCGUUCCUCCUACGAGUCUCAGGUCUCUUGAAGAGCUGUCAAAGUACCCGAGACCGAACUCCUUGCAGAUGUUCGGCGGACAAGUGAGAAUCCUGGACAACACUGGUGAAACAAAAACCAUGCGAAUAGAACCGCGACAAACUAAUUCGCCCAGCGAUGAUAUGACCAAUCACAACAGCAAAUCUGGAUCUUCUGAGACUUCUUCGAUAGUCGUGAGGUCGAGCUUGCACUCUGGAGGCACUAUGGUCCACAAACCACCCGGUGGGACUUCAGUCAGCAGCAGUGUCACUAAUUCAUUGUCAAACUCCAUAUCUAUGCCAAAUGCGCCUCAAAUGCUGGCACCAAUCAUACCAAACAUAUCAACUCCAAACAUCGCGCCAACAAUGACCUGCUACGGGAAUUAUCUCGAGCCGAGGUUGAACCCACUGACAAUCACUGCCUACAAUCCGCUGACUCUUCCCUCGGGAAUAUCAAGCAUCAUGCAUGGUGGAAAAAUAAUCCCAUAUGUUCCAGGAAUGCCGGGACCGCACACACUUAUGAGUGACAUAUCACAGCCUCAAACGGAUUCUUACAAAUUACCUGUCCCGGGAGCUCAGCCGCUGGAUCUGGCGAGUCCUGUUAAAGUUGGAGCAACAACGCCCUACGUACCGGGUAUUCCUGGACCAGAAGAAUCUGUCAAGCCGCUUUUCACGCCCCUGGAUCUGGCCAAGGAUCCGAAAGUCGGGUUCAAGCAUCCGACUAAUGGGGGAGUUAUUUCACCUAAAAUUGCCCAAGGUGACAACAAGUACCGCAGGCUGUCGUCUUGUGAUUUUAAGAACAAUAACAAUCCAGAGGUAGAUAACAAUUUUGAUCGUCAUAUCCACAAAAAUUCUAAGUACAAACUCAAGGAUAAUUAUGAUAAAAAUUUUAAGAUCGAUAAUGUUAAUGUUAAUAGUAAUGGAAAUGUGAAUUUUGAAAGAUCCUCACCAAAGCUGACUGAAAACCGGAAGCGACCUGCAAGCUGGGGAGACGAUGGUUCCAUUGCUGACCGAAGAAGUCCCUUGGUCACCAAAUACGAGCAUGGAGAAGGAAGGGUGAGAAUGUCACCGGAAACGGUUGCUAAUGGUGUGUUUUUAAACGGCCGAGCACGUGCUGAGAGCGUUCCACCGGUGAUAAUAAUGGAUCUAGAUACUGCGAGCAUUCAGCAAGAGCCGAAGUCUUCACCGGAACUGAUUGUCAGUCUAGAUAGCAAGCAGUCACCUUCGUUAGAAAGAGAAGUUGAAGAAAAAACCACUAAAUUCCUUCGACCCUCGUCUUUGCCGUUAAAACCUGGGACUUUUACGCCCAAAAGACAUCACGGAAUCACACCGACUCCGUACACUCAGCCCCUGAUCAGUCCGGAAACGCCGAGACCCAGGAAGUCAUAUGGACAGCUGUAUUUAAAUGGACACGCAUAUACAUAUCUAGGUCUCAAGUGCUCGACGAGAGUGUAUUACUGCACUCUGAAUCGACCACAGCCGAUGUACGUCACGCAGCAGCAUCACCUUUCUAUGUACUCCAAUUGGAAAAUAUUCAACGACCUCCGUCCUGACAGGAACCUCGCGAACUACGACUCGCGAAACCGAAGCUCUGGUUACACUAUCGCGUGGAAGAAACAAGAGCUGCUGCUCACUCACUCGUCUUACAAACCUGUCAAGCUGAAUUCUUCUCCAAGUCCAGACAGUGAUAGUGCGCAAAAGAUGGCCCGGAGGAUCAAAAUUUUUGAUGGUGGUUUUGAGAGCAAUGAAGACUACACCUACGUGAGAGGCCGAGGUAGAGGAAGAUAUGUCUGUGAAGAGUGUGGUAUCCGGUGUAAAAAGCCUUCGAUGCUGAAGAAACAUAUCAGGACACACACAGACGUGAGACCUUACACCUGCAAGUACUGCUCGUUUAGCUUCAAAACAAAGGGGAACUUGACCAAGCACAUGAAGUCUAAAGCGCAUUACAAAAAGUGCCGGGAAUUGGGGAUUGAUCCGGUUCCUACGACUGUUUGUGAUGAGAAUAUUGACAAAGAAGCGAUCGCAAGGUUGACUGCUGGUGGCGGAGAAAACGCUGAAGAGUCUUCUGAGGAAGAAGAUGAUGAAAGUGAUAAUGAAGAGAGUGAAGAGUCUGGAACUGAUGAGCAUGAAGCGGCUAGAAGUUUGCUAAUUUUGUCUCAGCCUAGUAAGAACAGGCUUCAAAUUCCUGGGCUGGUUCCUGCUUGUAGACCUGCGACUUAUCCUUAUGCUCUUACUACUCUGCUGUCUACGAGCACUUCGACGGCUACUACGACGACUGCUAGUACGGGUUCAGUGACUUCUGCGACGGUUAUUCAGAGUGAGGCUAGUAAUCGGUAUUAUUUUCCUAGCAGGUCGCUGGAUAGUUCUAGAGACAGUGUGAUAAGGUCUACGAAGGUUGAAGAGGCUAAGGAAGAAAUUAUUGAAGGUUUAACUAGUGAAGCUGAAGAUCAUCAGGGCACUCGAGCUACCCAGCCGAUGGAUUUGACCACGAAAUCCGCGGGUCUGGAUUGUGCGAAGAGGUCUUCGGUUGAUAUUCUUACGCCUGUUUCAGAGCCGAUUUUGAUGCAGACGAUUGUCCAGACUAUGGAGAGACUACCUCCGGGAAGAGAGUGGAAACCUGAUGCAGAAGGACACAUGCUCCAGGCUUACUUGACGGAGAGACAUGUCAUGGAUAGCAAAAUCAAGCAGCAGUAUCGGGUGGGAGGUUUUAAGGUUGAGAAGAAAGUUUUUUCUGGGAGCAAGUUGGAGAAUUCCAGGGGAAGUUUGUUCUCCAGUUCGACGCCUACUGUUACUUAUACGGAUCCUAGUAGGAUGCAGUUUGCUGGGAAGAAAGAAGAUGUUGGACAGAAAGUGGAGGCCAAGAGUGAAAGAAGGCCCUUUGAUAUUGAGUCCCUGCAUUCGCAGGAACUCUUGAGGCCGAGAGCUAAUACUCAGGAGUAUUUGAUCGGAAGAAACUACCCGGAGGUUGGUCAGGAGCUAAAGCCCUUGGGCAAUGAGACUAGAGAAGCUGUUGCUAGUCAUGAGAGACAAGACUUCAUUCCGUCCCCGGGUAGGGAAGCUAGGUACGAGAGACCUAUGAGACCUGUGAGUGCUGGGUUGGAAUUCAAGGUUCCUUGUUCGGAAUUCAAGGAGAGGGAGCCUGAUACCAAGGAGUUCAGACCGAUGGAACCUAGAUUGGUUAAUGAGAUUGGCUUGAGGCCGCUACAUGAUCCCAGGAAUAAUUCUGAGAGAGUCCUGGCUGAUGUUAAGAUUAAUGUUGAGGGCUUGGGCAAGCAGAUUGGUGUGGCUGUGGUUGAGGGCAUCAAGCAACAGCAUAAUGUAGUGAGGAAAAUGGUUGUUGCCGGUCCUGGGUUCAGGUCGCCUUCACCUUCACGUGCUGGAAAACCCAUGGCUGAAUUUUUACCACCGUCUGGUGUUGCUCCCAACUAUGUGAGCAUUGGAGAAGAUGGCCGGAGUACAUGUGGAAUUUGUAACAAAGUAUUCAACAAGCCAAGUCAAUUGAAGCUUCACAUAAACAUCCAUUACUUCGAGCGACCGUUCAGAUGCGAAAGUUGCGCCGUAUCUUUUCGCACCAAGGGCCACUUGACGAAACACGAGCGAUCUGUUUCUCACCACAACAAGGUCAGCAUGACGUCGACUUUUGGCGCUCCGACGACCAGCAAUCCACGGCCAUUCAAGUGUACUGAUUGUAAAAUAGCCUUCCGGAUACAUGGACACCUUGCCAAACACUUGAGAAGCAAAAUGCACAUAAUGAAGCUAGAAUGCAUUGGGAAACUACCUUUUGGCACUUACGCUGAAAUGGAAAGGUCAGGAGUUAAUUUAAAUGACAUCGACACCACUGAUUGUGAUAAUAGUCUCGCCAGUCUUCAGGUGUUGGCGAAAAAAUUGUACGACCAAGAUCCAACUAAAAUAGGUCAAUGGGAUCCAGAAACAGCAGCGUCUCAGUACCAACAAAGUAUACCCCCGACAACAACUACAACGACAACAACAAGUAGCGGUGAAGCGUCAUCAGAUGAAGGCGAACCUAUCCCCCAAUGUCCAGUUUCGCCGACGUCAUCUCCAUCAGCAUUUACCCCAGCGACAGAUAUACCUUCUUCGGUGUCACGAGCAUAUCACUUGCCUACUUUAUCAGUGAUUAGCGACCGCAAUAAAUCACCCGUCGAAUCUCACGUGCCAAAUUCACGAUUUGAGGAUAACAAUUUGCCUGCUUCCUCCUCAUCCGCGGUGGAUACUCAUUUGCCGAACGCGUUUAUAUGUCAAACGUGCUCCACGUCAUUUAGAAACCUCGUCGAUUUACAAGUCCACUGUUUCGUCGAGCACAAUAUUGACAACAGGAACCAUGAAAGCGGUCCAACUAAUGAAAACAAUGUUAAACCAACAAACGAUGUUGAGAUAAAUAAGGUACACGAUAAAAGCGAUGAUGCAUAGUGCCAAAUGUACGCUUACAAGCGGCCAUAUACAAUUAUCAUUUUUUAGUUGACUAAUUAAAAUACUACCAUUAAUUAUUAAUUAUAAAUGAUAGUCUUAAGUAUACUUUUUGACUUUGUUUAAAAUUCUUACUCUCAAGAUAUCAAUUUUCUCAGACUAUUUGUAAUUAAAACAAUGAGCUGAUAUGUGAUUUAGAGUUUUAUCAAAUUAAAGAAAAAAAUAAAAAAAAAAAAUAAUUUAAAUAAGUAACGAAAAAUUUAUAUAAAAUUUAUAUUUGUAUAUAUGUACACUGUGUUUAUUUAAAUUAUAUUAGUAUAAUAAUAAUAAGUAUCAAUUAUCAAGACAUCGCAAUCACGCCCAUUAUUAUCGAUUUAAAGAUUAACUGGGCCUAGUGAAGAUUGUAUAUCUGUAUACUAAAAAUAACAUAUAUUUUCAAGUAUAAUUUAAUUGUUUAAGUACACUUGUAAAUAUCUAAAUAAGUUAUUAUAUAAUAUUAAUUUAAAUACUAAAUAAGUGUCUAUUGAAAGUCCAAUUUAACAAUUAAAAAUCGAUUAAAAUUAAUUAUGAUGAGCUACAAGAUAAAACGUGUGAAAAUUAUCGUGUGCUCAAUAAUUACGGAAUAUUAAAUUUAAAAAAAAAGUCUUUCCUAACGCAUAAUCACUUUACUUCGAUAAUCAUUCAACUUGUACCUAUUAAAUGUGCUUGAGAGUGAGCUAAAUAUAUAUAUAU
rnacentral:misc_RNA from 1 species